GUUUUUCUAUAGAGUUCCUAUCCCCUUAGGGGCUGCAAUCCUUCCUCUUGUUUUAGUAAAAGAGUCCCAAAGCUCUAUCCACUGUGUGGCUGUGGGUGUUUGCAUCUGUUUCAGUUAGCUGCUGGGUGAAGCCUCUCCCAGCCAUGCUAGACUCCUGUCUGCAGGCAUAACAGAGUAACAUUAAUAGUGUCAUGGAUUAAUGCUUGGCCACGGGAUGGGACUCAAAUUGGGCCAGUUAUUGGUUGGCUGUUCCCUCGGUCUCUACUCCAUCUCCUGUCCCUGCUUUUCUUGCAGACAGGAUAAACUUUGGGUCAGAAGUUUUGUGGGUGGGUUGGUGUUCCUAUCGCUCCACUGGGCUUUCUGCCUGGCUACAGGAGAUGGCCUCUUCAGGUUCCAUAUCCCCAGUGCUGUAAGUCACAGCUAAAGAUAGCACCAUUGAUUCUUAGGAAGUAAUUUUUAAAAUAAAUAGUUGAAAAAAGAAAGAUUCUCUUAACAAUGUAAGAGAUUCCAAGAUUCUAAGAACAAUGUAAAAUACAUUAGGGAUAACUAGAAGUUCCAAGAAUUAGAUGUUAGGUUCAAGAGGUGACACACACUGCCAUCAAAGGCCACAGCUGGGCAACAGGACUGCAUUCUGACUUCCCCCAGCUGUGUGAUGCUUACUAAGCCCAUGGAGCUUCUCUCUGGCCUGUUGCCACCCACCAAGUUCCUGUGGACGAGGGAGAGAACUGUUGAAAAGCUGGCAGUGGAAGACUGUUUCCUUGUGUGCAGAGAAUGUAACGUCAUCUCCGAGUACAAAGGACUCCAGGUUUCCAAGGGAAGAAUGUAUCUUGGGGAGAGUGGGAAUGAAAUGGCUGGAAGCAAGGGGCAAGGGCACAUUUCCUUAUUUUACCUUGAAAUGUGGCCCCAUUUCUGAAGCAGGGCUUGGAAUUUUCAGACUAAUAACAAUGAUUGCUUGG